rnacentral:misc_RNA from 1 species
GUGAAUCAUCGAAUCUUUGAACGCAAAUUGCACUCUCUUUGGAUAGAAUGCCUGUUUGAGGGUCAGUAAUAAUAAAAUCGUGGUGUUGCUCUUGUUUGACACAACGGUUUUUGGGCUACUUUUGACUUUCUGGUUUUAAGAGGCUUAAAAUUGAACUUUUUGGCUUACUUUUAGACGUACAUAAAUUUAUUUUAUCGUCUAUUCUGGUGCCAAGUAUCUAUUAGGUGCGAUCUUGUUUAUAUGAUCUCGUGCCCAUAAUUCUCAUCUUUUGACCUCAAAUAUGUUAAUGAC